GUCUGCCCUCCCCACUUUCUGAGGACAGAGGACAGUAGCCACAGGUCCAGAGGAAGAAGCAGAGAAGACAACAGACAAAUAGGAAUUAACGUAUAACCAGGGCAGAAAACAGUGCCAGGCCACCAAGAGACAGAGGUCCCUGAAGAGCAGCUGGAGAAGAAGGAGCAGAAGCAGGACAAGAAAGCUCAGAAACAACAAGUGUGGGUUGGUGUGGACAGGAGGAAGAGGCACGUGUUUAACGUAUGCUUAGAUAAGUACAGAUGGAGACUGUCACGUGCAUCUCUACACUUUCAAACACUCAGUAGGAGCAAGCUGCUGCACGCUUCAAGUUGCACCAUGGACUCGGUCUUGGGUUGGCCCUAUUUGUAGGCAGUGAGGUUGAGGCAUUGUGCGUAUUGGGUUGGCCCCGAUUUGUAGGCAGUGAGGUUGAGGCGUUGCGUGUAUUGGGUUGGCCCCGAUUUGUAGGCAGUGAGGUUGAGGUGUUGCGUGUAUUGGGUUGGCCCUGAUUUGUAGGCAGUGAGGUUGAGGCGUUGUGCUAGUUGUGUGUAUUGAUAUGUGGCAGUCUAGGUUUUUGCAGGUUGUUUGGCUUUGCUAGUUCAGGAGUUGAUCAAAAUAGAUGUGACUGAAGGUAGCAUGUAGGGUUGGGGUGUCAGUGUUGGUGUAGAAAUGCAGGUUUGUGCUCAGUUCGGUUAGUGGCUUGGCCGUAGCUUGCUUUAGCCGUAGGUUGUGGGGCCAGUUUGAGGCUGGUUGUGGUGCAAUUUGGUUGCGUCUGUAAGUUGAAGCUCCAUGGGCGUUUGAAAGGGUUAAUCUCCAUCUCCACGCAUGAAGGUCUCCUGUGUCCAAAUGAUCUAGCGGUAGUUGGCGUGCUCAGCGUCAAACCGGAUGUGCACAAUCGAACAAUAAACAGUAUAAAAAAAACUUUUCAGCUUGUGCCUGGUGCUCUUCUACACUGAGAGGACUUGGCCAUUACCCUUUCCUGUUGCGAGCUGGCUGGAGGAAUAAACUUCUUCAUUUUGUCUACUGAUCUGAUCUGUCGUACUUGUUGAAUAAAAAUAUUUCCUGUUCUGAUUUAAAAAUGGUAAAAUAAUGUGACAGGUGAUGCCUAGUCACCAAUUUACAACUGUUAAUGCACUGUAGGAAAUCAGUCCUGAGUUAUUUGAGAAAAUAAAAAAUAAGGUACGGUGAAGCUGUGGUGCUUGGCUGCAAUCUGUUGAAGUUCAGCUGUCUCUUGUCUCAAAAAAAUGGUCCCAGU